UACGUAGGGAGCAAGCGUUGUCCGGAAUCAUUGGGCGUAAAGCGCGCGUAGGUGGCUUCAUAAGUCCGUUGUGAAAGUCAAAGGCUCAACCUUUGAAAGCCGAUGGAUACUGUGGAGCUAGAGUACGGAAGAGGCGAGUGGAAUUCUUGGUGUAGCGGUGAAAUGCGUAGAUAUCAAGAGGAACACCUGAGGUGAAGACGGGUUGCUGGGCUGACACUGACGCUGAGGCGCGAAAGCUAGGGGAGCAAACGGG
rnacentral:rRNA from 1 species